GAGGCGGGUCGGACGGUCGCCCCUUACGGGGAGGAAAGUCCGAGCACCCAGGGCGAGGCACUCGUUAAGAGCGAGGCUGCGGGCUGGCAACGGUCCGUGGACGGACAGUGUCACAGAAACAACACCGCCGCGUCUUCAGACACGGUAAGGGUGAAAAAGUGCGGUAAGAGCGCACUAUCCGGGAUGGCGACAUCCAGGAUGGAAAAACCCUGCCCGGUGCAAGACCAACAUGAGAACCGGACUGGCCCGGUCCAUUCAAGUUCUCGGGUAGGUCGCUUGAGACGUGCGGGCAACCGCACGCCCAGAUAAAUGACCGUCACCCGGCUUGCCGGGGACAGAACUCGGCUUACAGACCCGCCUCCUGU
rnacentral:RNase_P_RNA from 1 species